CAGGUAAUAGUGUCAUAGACCUAAAGCUGUUAUGUGAUGUGAUUCAAAUGUGAUUCAAGCUAGUAUCUGUCUGACUCCAAAUGGCUGUAUUCUUCACUAUGACACAUAGUGGGAAGAAUGUACCCAGUGAAUAGCAAAGAUCCAGAGAGGAGGAGGAAUACAUAGUUCCAGCUGGUAGCAGGCUGUCAUGGAGUUGUGGAAUCAAAAAGACAAUAGGCACAAUCCUGAGAAUGUUUGGAUCCAAAGAUACAUUUUUCUGACCUUGGCCUUCAAAGCUACUCCCAGCCUCCAGGGGACUUACUCAGCCAGCAGUUCUAUUUUCAGAAGCAGAGGAUAAACACAUGCUUUAAUUCCGUCGUUUAAAAUCUAGCCGGUCACAACCUAGUUCCAGCCCCUCAAAUCCCAGCUCCUGGUGCCACUGGUUUACCGUCGCCUCAGUAAAGAGGAGAAAAGGACAUGUGAAUAUGUGACUGCUUUCUCCUGCGCUGGGCCAUCACUUCUCUUUCACUGGCUCCUUGACGUGUCCUCUGAUGGCGUGCUUCCGGGCAGAAUCACUCAGUCCAAAACUUCAUGUCGAAAGACAGAUCUCCCUCUGUUGCCCAGACUGGAGUACAGUGGAAUGAUCACAGCUUACUGCAGCCUCAACUUCCUGGGCUCAAGCGAUCCUCCCACCUUGGGCUCUGGAGUAGCUGAGACGACAGGCAUUACCAGAAACGCACUAAUACAAUGAACUCAGGAGAUUCUCACUUGAGAAAAUCUCCAGCAAACGAUCACAGAAGUCAGAGACUGAGAGAGAACUGUUGUGAAGAUUAAAGCAGAUCACAGAGAUUUAAAGCUCUUGAUGGCCUUGAGAAGUAUCUAGGAAACAGCGGCCCAGAAGAAACGGAUUAUGUGAAAUAGAGAAAGUAGAUCAGAGAGAUCACUAAAGCUGUUAGUCAUGGCUACCCACAGACUGUCUUUCAUCUGAAGAGUUCAAAAAGGCUUUUCUAACCCGGGACUGACUUCUAGGUGGAAAAAAUACAUCGCUGUAAGAAAACCGAAAAAUAAUACCUGGAUUUCAUAUUAUGAACAUGAAAUGAGUCUACCUCACACCAGUCUGCAGAUGCAUCCGUGUUGUUGCACAGUUUCCUGUAAAAGCGUUUCACAUCUUGAUUCUUCACAUCUGGACCAAAGAGCUUCUGUACCGAUGCAUAAAACUUGUCAUAACCAAUUGCAUCUGCAUUGAAAAAAGUACAGUCCAUUUUCAUCAAAUUCCAAGGACUACCUUUUGUAUUUCAGCUAGAUUUUUUAUUUCCUAACCUUCUAUUUUCUUAUCUCAAUCUGUAAAAACCAGAUAUAUUUGCAUUUUAAAGACCUUGUCUUUGCACAAUCCUAAGCAAAAAGAACAAAGCUGGAGGCAUCACACUACCUGACUUCAAACUAUACUAUAAGGCUGGAGUAACCCAAAGCAUGGUACUGGUAGAAGAACACACACUCAGACCAAUGGAACAGAAUAGAGAACCCAAAAAUAAGAGUGCACACCUACAACGAUCUGAUUUUCUACAAACCUGACAAAAACAAGCAAUGGGGAAAGGAUUCCCUAUUUAACAAAUGGUGCUGGGAGGAGAGGACUGGAUAGCCACAUGUAGAAAAUUGAAACUGGACCCCUUCCUUAUACCAUUUACAAAAAUCAACUCAUGCUGGAUUAAAGACUUAAAUGUAAAACCCAAAACUACAAAAACUCUAGAAGAACAUCUAGGCAAUUCCAUUCAAGACAGAGUCACAGACAAAGAUUUCAUGAUGAAGAUACCAAAAGCAAUUGCAACAAAAGCAAAAAUUGACAAAUGGGAUCUAAUUAAACUUAAGAGCUUCUGCACAGCAAAAGAAACUAUCAUCGGAGUGGACAGACAACCUACAGAAGGGAGAAAAUUUUUGCAAUCUAUCCAUCUGACAAAGGUCUAAUAUCCAGCAUCUACAAGGAACUUAAGCAAAUUUACAAGAAAAAAAUGAACAACCUCAUUAAAAGUGGGCAAAGGACAUGAACGAACACUUCUCAGAGAAGACAUUCAUGUGGCCAACAAAUAUAUGAAAAAAAGCUCAUCAUCACUGGUCAUUACACAAAUGCAAAUCAAAAUCACAAUGAGAUAAUAUCUUAUACCAGUCAGAAUGGCUACUAUUGAAAAGUCAAAAUACAACAGAUGCUGGCAAGGUUGGGGAGAAAAAGGAAGGCUUUUACACUGUUGAUGGAAGUGUAAAUUAGUUCAACAAUUGUGGAAGACAGUGUGGUGAUUCCUCAAAGACCUAGAGGCAGAAAUACCAUUUGACCCAGCAAUCCCAUUACUGAGUAUAUACCCAAAGGAAUAAAAAUCAUUCUAUUAUAAAGAUACAUGCAUGCAUAUGCUCAUUGCAGCACUGUUCCCAAUAGCAAAGAUAUGGAAUCAAUACAAAUGCCCAUCAAUGAUAGACUGGAUAAAGAAAAUGUGGUAUAUAUACACCAUGGAAUACUAUGCAGCCAUAAAAAGGAAUGAGAUCAUGUCCUUUGCAGGGACAUGGAUGGACCUGGAGGCCAUUAUCUUUAGCAGGCUAACGCAGGAACAGAAAACCAAAUACCACAUGUUCUCACUUAUAUGUAGGAGCUGAAUGAUGAGAACACAAGGACACAUGGUGGCUAAAAACACCCAGUGGGGCCUGUUAUAGGGUUGUGGGGGUGUGGAGGGAGAGCAUGAGGAAGAAUAGCUAAUGGAUAUUGGGCUUGAUACCUGGUGAUGGGAUGAUCUGUGCAGCAAACCACCAUGGCACAUGUUUACCUAUGUAACAAACCUGCACAUCCUGCACACGUACCCCUGAACUCAAAAAAAAAAAGAUCUUGUGUUUACAAACAUAAUCAGGCCUUUGGCUAAAAUAUUACUAAAUAAGAAGAAAAUAUUUUACUGUGGUGUUUGAUACAUUCUCCGUGGUUUCUGUUUAAGAUAUUUUAGGAGUUUUGUUCAGGAAUGCAAAAAUUCAAGAAUGAAUUGACUUUUUCCUGUUGUAAAAAGUUUCACCAUUGGAGUCUUUGGUAGAAUUCAUCUUGAGCGGAAGGUGGAAGUGAGCAAACAGCAAUUCUUUUUUUUUUUUUUUUUUUUGAGACAGGAUCUUGCUCUGUCACUCAGGCUGGAGUGCAGUGGCACAAUCAUGACUCACUGCAGCUUUUACCUCCCAGGAUCAAGUGAUCCUCCCAGCUCAACCCCCCAAGUAGCUGGGACUACAGGCACCCACCACCACACCCAGCUAAUAUUUUAUUUUUUGCAGAGACAGGGUCUCACUAUGUUACAGCCCAGGCUGGUCUCAGACUCCUAGCUUCAAGCGAUCCUCCCACUUCAGCCUCCCAAAGUGCUGGGAUUACAGAUGUGAGCCACUGUGCCUGGUGAGCAAUUCUUAACUGGUUCUUAAACUCUAUGUAAAUACACACAUACACACACACACACACACACACACACACACACACACACACACACCAUUGCUUGAAUCUUGAUUUUGUCAAAUUUCGUAAUUCCCUGGGGUAAGACUAUUGAAUCUAAGGACAAGAAGGAAUUAGAUGUGAGGCUUUCUCAAACUGUAUAGACAAGAUCAGAUGGUUUUAUUUAGUUAAAAAUAUGAGUAUCUCUUAUGUGUAAGAACUGAGCCAGACAUUGGGCUUAGAAUAGAAAAUUAGAUAAGCAAGAUCCCUGCCCUCAGGGAGCUUAUAUUAUAGCGGGAAAUCAGAAAAGUAACAAGUGAACACACUAUUUACAGAUUGUGACAGGCAAGGCUAAUUAAUAAAGAUAGACGUUACAUCAGUGGUUACCUGUGUAUAAGGUGAAAAGCAGUAUUGCUGCAAAAGGCAUGAGGGAACUUUCUGGGACGCUAGAAAUGUUCCCUGUCUUGAUCUGGAUGGUGGCUAAAGGUGUGUUUACCAAGGUUCAAAUUUACAGAGCUACCUCCUUAAGAAGAGUACAUUUUAUGGGCUUUAUUAUAUGUAUGUCAAGCUCAGUAACGAAGUUAAAAUAAACAAGUUGUUGUAGAAUAAGCAC